GAUGAACGCUGGCGGCGUGCCUAAUACAUGCAAGUCGAGCGAACAGACGAGGAGCUUGCUCCUCUGACGUUAGCGGCGGACGGGUGAGUAACACGUGGAUAACCUACCUAUAAGACUGGGAUAACUUCGGGAAACCGGAGCUAAUACCGGAUAAUAUAUUGAACCGCAUGGUUCAAUAGUGAAAGACGGUUUUGCUGUCACUUAUAGAUGGAUCCGCGCCGCCUUAGCUAGUUGGUAAGGUAACGGCUUACCAAGGCAACGAUGCGUAGCCGACCUGAGAGGGUGAUCGGCCACACUGGAACUGAGACAAGGUCCAGACUCCUACGGGAGGCAGCAGUAGGGAAUCUUCCGCAAUGGGCGAAAGCCUGACGGAGCAACGACGCGUGAGUGAUGAAGGUCUUCGGAUCGUAAAACUCUGUUAUUAGGGAAGAAAAAAUGUGUAAGUAACUAUGCACGUCUUGACGGUACCUAAUCAGAAAGCCACGGCUAACUACGUG
rnacentral:rRNA from 1 species